GCCGUAGCAAAAUCUACGGACGGGCGUGGAAACCCGGAAUAAGCAAGAGGCGACACAGACGCCAAGCGUCUUUUUU
rnacentral:sRNA from 1 species